AUUGAACGCUGGCGGCAGGCCUAACACAUGCAAGUCGAACGGUAACGGGAAGAAGCUUGCUUCUUUGCUGACGAGUGGCGGACGGGUGAGUAAUGUCUGGGAAACUGCCUGAUGGAGGGGGAUAACUACUGGAAACGGUAGCUAAUACCGCAUAACGUCGCAAGACCAAAAAGGGGGACCUUCGGGCCUCUUGCCAUCGGAUGUGCCCAGAUGGGAUUAGCUAGUAGGUGGGGUAACGGCUCACCUAGGCGACGAUCCCUAGCUGGUCUGAGAGGAUGACCAGCCACACUGGAACUGAGACACGGUCCAGACUCCUACGGGAGGCAGCAGUGGGGAAUAUUGCACAAUGGGCGCAAGCCUGAUGCAGCCAUGCCGCGUGUAUGAAGAAGGCCUUCGGGUUGUAAAGUACUUUCAGCGGGGAGGAAGGGAGUAAAGUUAAUACCUUGGCUCAUUGACGUUACCCGCAGAAGAAGCACCGGCUAACUCCGUG
rnacentral:rRNA from 1 species